AACGAACGCUGGCGGCAGGCUUAACACAUGCAAGUCGAGCGCUCUCUUCGGAGGGAGCGGCGGACGGGUGAGUAACGCGUGGGAACGUGCCUUUCUCUACGGAAUAGCCUCGGGAAACUGAGAUUAAUACCGUAUACGCCCUUAGGGGGAAAGAUUUAUCGGAGAGAGAUCGGCCCGCGUUGGAUUAGGUAGUUGGUGGGGUAACGGCCUACCAAGCCGACGAUCCAUAGCUGGUUUGAGAGGAUGAUCAGCCACACUGGGACUGAGACACGGCCCAG
rnacentral:rRNA from 1 species